CCUAAAGGGUCUCUUUAAAGCAUUCGCUUCAUCAAUUCUCAAGAGAAGAGAGGUAGCAGUAAGAGAGAGAGGGAGAGAGAGGGCCAAGUUCAGAGUUUAGGACAGAUGAAGGAGUGUUAAAAGGAAGCAAGAGAUACAGUUUAUGGCAGUGUUGGUGAAAAGGAAACGCAAGGAAACCUCUUUUGUUAUGGUGGUGCAGAGCAGAAUUAUUAUGGAAACUGUGGGGAACAAUGAAUUGAAACUCUCAAGUUUUAUCUUUUCCUCUCUUGCUCAUCACUUGUCAAUGCUGCUUGAUAAACACUAGGAAUGUUCCUCCUCCUAGCUACUGGCCAACAAACAGAGAAAGAACCAAAGUUAUUAAACAAGGCAUGUGUUCCAGGUUGGACGUUCUUAAACAGCCAUGAGUAUAUAUAUUGUACGGUUUUACUCGGUUUUUUAAUUAUUAUUUUUUCAAUGGUUUUAAUCUUUUUUCAAAAAACUUAAUAUUUCAUCGAUUUUAAGACAACCACUUUAAGCUAUAUUUUACCCUUUUAAAAAAAAAUCAUAUUAUUUUUAAAACAAAUUUUUUAAGUCAUGAACAUGAUAAUAAUACACACACACAUAUAUAUAUAUAUAUAUGUAUUAAAAAAUAUAUAUAACUUGCUUUUUUAUGAUUUCAAUUUCAAAUUUUUAUGGUUGCUAAUAUAAUAAUUAUUGAAAGUUUACAUGGUUAUUAAUUUUAUUAAUAAAAAAAUAUAUAUAUAUAACAUAAUGGUAGUGCGUAGGCAUUGUGAAAUGUGAGCUCAUUUACAACAAAGUCUGGCCCAAUACAAUUAAUCGAAGACGCAAAUGCAAAAGGAAGUCUAGGAGGAAAAGAGGGAAGGCCAUGGAAAAAAUCCAAAACCCUAUUACAGAACAAUAGCUUCUCUUAUUCAAGGAGAGCUGAAGGGACCCUGAGCCCCUCAAGACAAAAGAAGGUAUCGUGUCAUUUUUUGUCCCCUUGCUAUGGAACGAGAAAGUGACCCUUGUGAUACAAAGAGGGUACCACUCUCUGGCCCGCCUGACCUGACCAAGUUUUGGGAUGCAAGGCAAAGUGGAAGCCUUCUUUUCACUGUGGCCCUGCGAGGAGGAGGAAUUGGGCAUCCAACACCUGUUGGAAAUGGCAAAGUGGAAGCCGUAGACCAGUCAAAACAACUUUGUCUUCUCCUUGUCCAGAAUAUAUAUAUAUACAUAUAUAUAGGAACCUCAGGUUUUGCUGCCUUUUUACAGUCGGUAAUGGGCUAGAGAUCACAAAAUUAUGCAAUACAUGGAGUGCAAUUGUUUUCUACUGCUAUUUUUUCUUCCUUUAUCAAUUGGGAAUUUACAGCAACUAUGUAUGUGUGAUUUAUUGGAGUUUGUUUAUAGAAACAGACAGCAUGCAUUGCUAUGGAGCA